GAUCAUUUGAUGAGAAAAAGAAAACUGCAACAAUAAGAUUGGAUAUGUCAUAUACUCCAUGAUUACUUGUAUUUAAGUCUCUGAUGAUC